UACGUAGGGUGCAAGCGUUAAUCGGAAUUACUGGGCGUAAAGCGUGCGCAGGCGGUGAUGUAAGACCGAUGUGAAAUCCCCGGGCUUAACCUGGGAACUGCAUUGGUGACUGCAUUGCUGGAGUAUGGCAGAGGGGGGGUGGAAUUCCACGUGUAGCAGUGGAAUGCGUAGAGAUGUGGAGGAACACCGAUGGCGAAGGCAGCCCCCUGGGCCAAUACUGACGCUCAUGCACGAAAGCGUGGGGAGCAAACAG
rnacentral:rRNA from 1 species